rnacentral:tRNA from 1 species
GGGCGAAUGGCGGAAUUGGUAGACGCGCUAGGUUCAGGACUUAGUGUUCGCAAGGACAUGGGGGUUCAAAUCCCCCUUCGCCCACCA